rnacentral:rRNA from 1 species
CCUACGGGAGGCUGCAGUGGGGAAUAUUGGACAAUGGGCGAAAGCCUGAUCCAGCCAUGCCGCGUGUGUGAAGAAGGCCUUCGGGUUGUAAAGCACUUUCAGUGGGGAAGAAAGCCUUGGGGCUAAUACCCUCGAGGAAGGACAUCACCCACAGAAGAAGCACCGGCUAACUCCGUGCCAGCAGCCGCGGUAAUACGGAGGGUGCGAGCGUUAAUCGGAAUUACUGGGCGUAAAGCGCGCGUAGGCGGUCUGAUAAGCCGGUUGUGAAAGCCCCGGGCUCAACCUGGGAACGGCAUCCGGAACGGUCAGGCUAGGGUGCAGGAGAGGAAGGUAAAAUUCCCGGUGUAGGGGGGAAAUGCGGAGAGAUCGGGAGGAAGACCAGUGGAGAAGGGGGCCUUCUGCACUGACACUAACGCGGGGGUGCGAAGGCGUGGGUAUCAAACAGGAUUAAAUACCCCUGUAGUC